GUGCCAGCGCCGCGGUAAUACCGGCAGCCCGAGUGAUGGCCGAUCUUCUUGGGCCUAAAGCGUCCGUAGCUGGCUACGCAAGUCCGUCGGGAAAUCCAUCAGCCCAACUGAUGGGCGUCCGGCGGAAACUGUUCGGCUUGGGGCCGGAGGACCCGAGGGGUACGUCCGGGGUAGGAGUGAAAUCCUGUAAUCCUGGACGGACCGCCGGUGGCGAAAGCGCCUCGGGAAGACGGACCCGACAGUGAGGGACGAAAGCUGGUACCUCGAACCGGAUUAGAAACCCCGGUAGUCC
rnacentral:rRNA from 1 species